rnacentral:piRNA from 1 species
CACUGCCUAUUGUCACUUAAGACCCAA